rnacentral:misc_RNA from 1 species
GGGACCUAUAGGGGAUAUAGCCAUAACUUAUCCACAGGAGUAAAGCUUGAGAAGGAAGAUGGUGGUAUUCCAAGGGUCAAACAAUUUGUAGAGACAAGACGUGCAAAUUAUAUGCAUGGUUUAUUCAGGAAAUUACAGAAAGACUUGAGGAGCAUUCACGGUCUCAUCCCUUUGAUGAGAUUGUAAAGGGUGGUUAUCAGUGGAGGAAUAUGAAUGUUGGAAUGUUGACCUGGACAGAAUUGAUUUUCUUCUGAUCAAUGAACUUCUCAUAGUGAAGAAGCAUCUUACUAGAUGUCCAAGUCUUCUAUUUUUGGAAAUUUGCUAGAAAUCUAUAUAACACAA